UGCGGGAGGCGGGGAGGGGAGGGCAGGCAGAGGAUUUCGCUCGCUCGCCCGCGCGGGAUCCGGGACGCGCCGGUGGCGUCCGCUGGCAGCAGAGACUGUCAAUUUCGGAUCCAAAGACGGCGAUGGCAGAGCUCACCCGGGUUGCCUGUCAAAUCAAGGCUAUCGCAGAAUAAAUCCCGCCGCCUGCCGCGAAGCCCCGGCGCACCGCAAACUUCAGUGAGCGAACUGGGUGAUCGCUGUUGGGAUAUGCAGAUUCCUGAUGUAAAAGGCGG
rnacentral:lncRNA from 1 species